UUUAAGCGAUAACAAGAUGUCUGCAGGAACCGUCCUGGCCUUCAGCAAAGCAGCUGCAAAUUGUCCAAGAGUUUCCAAGCUUCAAAUAAGGAAGAGCACCUUAAUAAUCUCCUUUGUCAACCUGUCUCCAAAAGAACCUAGAUUAAAAGAUAUGGGAAUUAAUGAAGAAGAAAUUGCUCCUAAACCCAGUUUAAUUUUACA